ensembl:ncRNA F54F2.13 ncRNA
AAGCAUGCAUGAAUUCUCACAGGGGCGCAGCGACGUCGGCUCUUCUAUGUCACAUGCACACAAGGAGCACAUACAUACAAACAAGAAGGGGAAGCUUUGCUCCUUUUCUCUCUAACUUUCUGCGUUCCAGUGCUUUAUUUCAUAUAGCCGUAUGUUUUAAUAAAAUUA